GGAAAAGUGCCCGAGAACUAGGGACUGCCUUGAUAAGGCAAGAACAGAGGCACCCCUCUCUCUUCCCA
rnacentral:tRNA from 1 species